AUGCAUGGUGAGGACUAUGAUUGGAAGCAUUCUCCUGUUGAACCACAAGCCCUUUAUGAAGUUGGUGGUAGGAAGCCGCACGGAAAAUGGCCACUAUUGAAUGGUGUUGUGGAGGGUAAAGAGGCUCUUAGGGAGCAUCCCUUCAAGGAAUUCCAGGGCCUGAGAUUCCAUGCAUUGUUAUACCCCCACCUCCAGCUUUUUCAACUUUAA
rnacentral:rRNA from 1 species